GGGCAGCAGUAGGGAAUCUUGCGCAAUGGGCGAAAGCCUGACGCAGCCAUGCCGCGUGAAUGAUGAAGGUCUUAGGAUUGUAAAAUUCUUUCACCGGGGAAGAUAAUGACGGUACCCGGAGAAGAAGCCCCGGCUAACUUCGUGCCAGCAGCCGCGGUAAUACGAAGGGGGCUAGCGUUGCUCGGAAUUACUGGGCGUAAAGGGCGCGUAGGCGGAUAGUUUAGUCAGAGGUAAAAGCCCAGGGCUCAACCUUGGAACUGCCUUUGAUACUGGCUAUCUUGAGUUCGGGAGAGGUGAGUGGAAUGCCGAGUGUAGAGGUGAAAUUCGUAGAUAUUCGGCGGAACACCAGUGGCGAAGGCGACUCACUGGCCCGAUACUGACGCUGAGGCGCGAAAGCGUGGGGAGCAAACAGGAUUAGAUACCCCAGUAGUC
rnacentral:rRNA from 1 species